UUGUGGAAUAUAAGUACAUCGCUGUACUAAUUAAACACACUGCAGCAAAUAUUGUGAAGUGGGGGAAACGCUGAUAAUUUAGAGACUAACUCAGACUGUAAACAGCCGACCAGUUUUCGAGGCGCGAUAUUUUUCCUGUAUUACUAAGUUCUACCACUAACGUAACGUAAUAUGCCGCACCGAUCGGGCAUUGUACUAGCCAUCUUUGUACUACUAAAACACUCAUGCUUCACGACCAGUCAGGUCUUUUAUCCUUACCCCCAAUUCGCAGGUCCGAUCUUUUCGUAUCCGCCGCCCGGGGCGUACCAGCGUUAUCCCGGCGCAUUCCCCUCGUAUUCGGAACCGUCACACACGGAGGAAGGACGUAGAGAUAAGAGCUAUGCUCCUAAGAAUCCCUUUUUCAUUCCCCAUCCACAACGGGGAAAUGGCGGACCCGGAUCAAAUGCAGAGAACGAGGAGACCUGCCCGGUAUUUGCACCUCCACAUCAGGAACCCAGCGACCAAACCGAUUCGGGAUUCGGUGAUCAAGAACAGUGCUCCCGCCCAACGUCAUCUUUUCCACACGGUGCAAGUUUCCCCGGACAUCCGUUUCCGCACUACCCAUUCCCUGUCCCGCCGAUGUUCCCGUACAUGUUCGCGUUUCCACCGCCGCAAUCUUUUUCCGGGAAGAUCGCUCGGCGCGAACAAUUCGUGUAUCCACCGAAAAAAACCACACAGCCGAAAGAUGCAGCGAAAACGCUUCCCACGAAAUUCCAGAGGAUCCGAAAACGGUGGACGAAGAAGAGGAGAAUUUAGUUGACGAAUUCUCUGCGUUUUCUCAGUUCUUCGACGCGAUGUUCCCUGAGUUCCCCCAGGGCGGACCUACUGCAGGAGGGAAGCUGGGGAAAGCUGGCAGUGCUCAUGCGAGAAGGAAAAAUCGGAAUGGUGGAAGAAUCACGCGAAAAAAUGGGAAGGUUUCGAAUAAUACGCAUUCGGGUGAAUUAAACGAGAUGUUGGACACCAUUCAACAACAGUUAGAAGCCCUUUUCGACUACAAAGAAAUGGGAACCAAGUUCGGGAUACAUCUGCACCAGGCACUAUCGUCUGUUUCCGCGCUGCAGGAGGACAUUUGUGGCUAGCCAUAAGAAAAACCUAGUCUUAUUUUUGAUUCUUUUAAAUUUUAUCCGUGUUGAUAGUUGAUACUUUCUUUAAGUGAAUCAUCGUCAUCGGUGGCUUUUCUUUUUGCUGCUUAAAUCAACGAAUUGCUGAGACGUGUCCGUAAAUCGCUUACAUUUCUCCGGUGGUGGCUUUCAGCCCGGUGGUGUCAUUAAAAAUGGGAUAUCCAGUA